rnacentral:ncRNA from 1 species
CAAAAGUGAAAUAGAUAUAAACGUAUAAUAAACCUAAUUGGUGGUUUGAGUCUCUACCACAAGACCUUAAUCUUGUGACUACGUAUCAUGAUAUCUUUAUU